UACGUAGGGUGCGAGCGUUGUCCGGAAUUAUUGGGCGUAAAGAGCUCGUAGGCGGUCUGUCGCGUCUGGUGUGAAAACUCAAGGCUUAACCUUGGGCCUGCAUCGGGUACGGGCAGACUAGAGUGUGGUAGGGGAGACUGGAAGUUCCUGGUGGUAGCGGUGAAAUGCGCAGAUAUCAGGAGGAACACCGAUGGCGAAGGCAGGUCUCUGGGCCACUACUGACGCUGAGAAGCGAAAGCAUGGGGGAGCGAACAG
rnacentral:rRNA from 1 species